rnacentral:misc_RNA from 1 species
GUUGGAUAAGAAUGAGUACCACAAGGUGGUCGAUAAUUCUCGUCCUCCUCUCACAUGUGAAUGGAAGAGCAAGGAGGCAUAAACAAGCAUCAUGAUGGCCUAUGUUCCACCUAUAUACAUGGAUGGAAGAGUAAGAAGAAUCUUAGCAAACUAAUAGAGUAUUCCUUAGUAACCUAAUGUCUCUUAGAGGCAAAUGUUGUGGGUGAAAGUGAGCA